rnacentral:rRNA from 1 species
GACGAACGCUGGCGGCGUGCUUAACACAUGCAAGUCGAACGGAAAGGCCCUGCUUUUGUGGGGUGCUCGAGUGGCGAACGGGUGAGUAACACGUGAGUAACCUGCCCUUGACUUUGGGAUAACUUCAGGAAACUGGGGCUAAUACCGGAUAGGAGCUCCUGCUGCAUGGUGGGGGUUGGAAAGUUUCGGCGGUUGGGGAUGGACUCGCGGCUUAUCAGCUUGUUGGUGGGGUAGUGGCUUACCAAGGCUUUGACGGGUAGCCGGCCUGAGAGGGUGACCGGCCACAUUGGGACUGAGAUACGGCCCAGACUCCUACGGGGGGCAGCAGUGGGGGAUAUUGCACAAUGGGCGGAAGCCUGAUGCAGCAACGCCGCGUGCGGGAUGACGGCCUUCGGGUUGUAAACCGCUUUCGCCUGUGACGAAGCGUGAGUGACGGUAAUGGGUAAAGAAGCACCGGCUAACUACGUG